rnacentral:rRNA from 1 species
GUCGGGGAUAACCAGUCGAGAGACUGGCUAAUACCGGAUAAGACCACAAGAUCUGCGGAUCAAGGGGUUAAAGGUUUUUCGCUUGAAGAUGAGUCUAUGCGAGAUUAGCUAGUUGGUGAGGUAAUGGCUCACCAAGGCGACGAUCUCUAACUGGUCUUAGAGGAUGAUCAGUCACACUGGAACUGAGACACGGUCCAGACUCCUACGGGAGGCAGCAGUAGGGAAUAUUGCGCAAUGGGGGAAACCCUGACGCAGCGACGCCGCGUGAGUGAUGAAGGCCUUCGGGUCGUAAAGCUCUGUCGUAUGGGAAUAACACAAUGAAUGUACCAUGCAAGAAAGGAUCGGCUAACUUCGUGCCAGCAGCCGCGGUAAGACGAGGGAUCCUAGCGUUGUUCGGAAUCAUUGGGCGUAAAGCGGGUGUAGGUGGGCUUCUAAGUCAGAUGUGAAAUCCCAGGGCUCAACCCUGGAAGUGCAUUUGAUACUGGAAGUCUUGAGUGUGGUAGAGGUUACUGGAAUUGUUGGUGUAGUGGUGAAAUACGUAGAUAUCAACAGGAAUACCGGAGGCGAAGGCGAGUAACUGGGCCAACACUGACACUGAGACCCGAAAGCGUGGGGAUCAAACAGGAUUAGAUACCCUGGUAGUCCACGCCAUAAACGAUGGAUACUUGUUGUUAGAGGUAUUGACCCCUCUAGUGACGUAGCUAACGCGUUAAGUAUCCCGCCUGGGGAGUACGGUCGCAAGAUUAAAACUCAAAGAAAUUGACGGGGGCCCGCACAAGCGGUGGAGCAUGUGGUUUAAUUCGAUGCAACGCGAAGAACCUUACCUAGGCUUGACAUAAACUGGAAGAGUGGCAGAAAUGUCCUCGCUCGCAAGAGUCGGUAUACAGGUGCUGCAUGGCUGUCGUCAGCUCGUGUCGUGAGAUGUUGGGUUAAGUCCCGCAACGAGCGCAACCCUUACCUUUAGUUGUCAGCAUUUAGUUGGACACUCUAGAGGGACUGCCUGCGUUAAGCAGGAGGAAGGUGGGGAUCCCGUCAAGUCCUCAUGGCCCUUAUGCCUAGGGCU